rnacentral:lncRNA from 10 species
AUCUUGCCCAGGCUGGUCUCAAACGCCUGGGCUCAAGCAGUGUGCCUGCCUUGGACUCCCAAAGUGCUGAGAUUACAGGUGUGAGCCACCAUGCCUGGCCCAUAUUAAGACUUUCAGAGCAUCUGAAGUUUGUUCCUCUCUGGACCAGCUCCAAGGCUAAAGCUGACAGAAAUCCCAGAAUAUGAUUCUCAGGCUGCCCCGUCACCACUGACAGUGGGCACAGGAAUAGCCUAACCAUUAGGAAAAUGAAAGAAGGAAAGAUAAGCACCAGGCUAAUGUGGAAGCCUUCAAAGUUGGAGAUGUCCAACAGCAGCAGGAAUAACUUGGUGUUGGUCACUGCUCUUAAUUUAUAAUGUAUAAAUCCUGGGGAUUUCUUUUGCUUCCUUCUCCUGUUGGAUCUCUUAUUGUGGGGGUUCCGUUUCUUCCUCUUUCAUGGCUGACUCCUUCAUUUUCUGGAGCCCAUCCUCUAGGACUAGAUUUCUCAACCCUGACACACAUUAUUGACAUUUUGGACCAAAUAACUAUUUGUUUUGUGAGUCUGGAGGGGUGAGCAGGGGAUUGUAAACAAUAAAUAGCUGUGUAACCUUUGUAAAAGAGGCUAGAAUUUAUUUCUAAGACAGUAGAGAGACACUGAAAGGUUUUAAGUGGCAGAAUGACAGGGCCACAUAUGCAUUUUAGAAUUGCUCUACCUACACUAUGGAGAUUAAAUUGAAGGAGUUAAAGUCAGGAAAGCCAAUUAAGAGAUUGUUAUAAACCAGGCAUGGUGGCUCACGCCUGUAAUCCCAGCGUGAUUUUAAAGGCCGAAGUGGGAAGAUUGCUUGAGGUCAGGAGUUUGAGACCAGCCUAGGCAACAUAACAUAGUGAGACAUCAUGUCAGCAAAAGUUAAAAAAAUUAACCAGGCACCAUGCUGCAUGCCUAUAGUCCCAGCUACUAGGUAGGCUGAG